rnacentral:tmRNA from 1 species
GGACUUUUUUCGUCAAUCCUUGCACCCUAUAUUUGGUGUGCCGGCUUGCCGGCUAUGGAAAUAAAUGGCCGCCGCAAUAAACCAUUCGGACCCGGGGGCAGCACCCGGCGCCUCCACCAAAGUCCGUACCAAGGACAUGAUCCCGAAAAGUGGUCACGGUUUUCGGACCAGAUCAUGCCUAUCCAAAAAGCGGAUUUCGGCGGGGGCGAAACAGGAUCGACGAGGGCGUAAAGGGCGAGUUUUUUCCCGGUAUGGUUCCGCCGUUAUCGGGCUACGCAAUAGUUGCAAACGACAACUAUGCUCCGGUUGCUCAGGCUGCGUAACGCAGUUUGAAAAACCACUUUAAAGUCCUAGCGGGUUAAGCUCCGUCAGGCGGGGUUCGGAGGCACCUGGCAACAGAAGCCUCCACU